CUAAAGUCAGCAAGGUAAUAGAAGUCUGAACACUAGGAAACAACUAUAUUUAGAGAAAAUGUUACAAAAACCAUUUGCUCUCUCUAUAACUUCUACAACUCUGCUAAUGAGUGUAGAAGGCUGAAUGAAAUACUCGUGGCACUUAUCCCCCAUUUCCAAACCAUCUAAGCCCCAAAAAUUCAGAUUAUCAAUGCUGUAAAUAGGCGCCCCUACAGGACAGUUGCCUAUUCUGCCUAAUAAGAAAUUAAGCCAUAAUUACACAUAAUACCUGCAGCACCACCUGCGAUGGGAAUGGGUUAAAUGAAUCCUUGAAUGAUGAGCUAGUGCUGUCGAUAUUCACACGCAGAUAAUGACACAAUUUCAGAGAACUUACCUGGUGCCAUUCAACAUCCAGAGCAUCAGCCUUCCAUGGUGUUUCAGAGAAAGGUCCAGGCAGUGAGUGGGUCUAGAUCAGUAGCAGCCUUCGCAUAUUCACUGCUAAGAGGAAGUCACUGGCUUAAAGGAACACUUAACAAACGUGUUCCUGACCCUAUAGUCAGAAUCACAGAAGUGAUGAUAUCAGACAAUCACAAUUUUAUCACAUGACAGGAGGCUUCGUAUUUUGCAUAAUCUUUCUUUACUAACUCCAUAGC